rnacentral:rRNA from 1 species
GGGGCCCGCACAAGCGGCGGAGCAUGCGGAUUAAUUCUAUGCAACGCGAAGAACCUUACCAAGGCUUGACAUGAACCGGAAAUACCUGGAAACAGGUGCCCCGCUUGCGGUCGGUUUACAGGUGGUGCAUGGUUGUCGUCAGCUCGUGUCGUGAGAUGUUGGGUUAAGUCCCGCAACGAGCGCAACCCUCGUUCUAUGUUGCCAGCGCGUGAUGGCGGGGACUCAUAGGAGACUGCCGGGGUCAACUCGGAGGAAGGUGGGGACGACGUCAAAUCAUCAUGCCCCUUAUGUCUUGGGCUUCACGCAUGCUACAAUGGCCGGUACAAUGGGUUGCGAUACUGUGAGGUGGAGCUAAUCCCAAAAAGCCGGUCUCAGUUCGGAUUGGGGUCUGCAACUCGACCCCAUGAAGUCGGAGUCGCUAGUAAUCGCAGAUCAGCAACGCUGCGGUGAAUACGUUCCCGGGCCUUGUACACACCGCCCGUCAAGUCACGAAAGNUGGUAACACCCGAAGCCGGUGGCCUAACCCCUUGUGGGAGGGAGCUGUCGAAGGUGGGACUGGCGAUUGGGACUAAGUCGUAACAAGGUAACCGUAAGGGC